GAUGAACGCUAGCGGCAGGCCUAAUACAUGCAAGUCGGACGGGAUCGGGGAGCUUGCUCCCCGUGAGAGUGGCGCACGGGUGCGUAACACGUAUGUAACCUACCUUUAUCAGGGGGAUAGCCUCUCGAAAGAGAGAUUAACACCGCAUAACAUCACAUGAUAGCAUUAUCGAGUGAUCAAAUAUUCAUACGAUAAAGAUGGGCAUGCGGGACAUUAGCUAGUUGGCGGGGUAACGGCCCACCAAGGCGACGAUGUCUAGGGGAUCUGAGAGGAUGACCCCCCACGCUGGUACUGAGACACGGACCAGACUCCUACGGGAGGCAGCAGUAAGGAAUAUUGGUCAAUGGACGCAAGUCUGAACCAGCCAUGCCGCGUGCAGGAGGACGGCCCUACGGGUUGUAAACUGCUUUUGUACCGGAAUAAACCCUUUUACGUGUAAGAGGCUGAAUGUACGGUAAGAAUAAGGAUCGGCUAACUCCGUGCCAGCCGCCGCCGUAA
rnacentral:rRNA from 1 species